AUGCUUUUGUAACCCUUCAGUCAAGUUUUAUUUGUGUACACCUUUCAGCAGGAAGGUAUUUCAAAGUGAAAUGCAUCAAAAAUACAAAGUCAGAACUCACAGUCAACAACUGCAGCGUUACAUUUUGUUAAGUGCAACAGAUUGUUGAUUUAUUUUUCAUUGAUUAUUGCUCAAAACCAACUCUAAUCAUGUUAGUUUUCAGUCUAGAUUUAAAGACACAGUGUUUCAGCUGUUUGAUCAUCUCAGGUCCAGCAGGUUGAACUCAGGCUCACCGGAUUCAUGCUACAAAAAGAGGAAAUCAAGAUGGUGGUUAACAUCAGCCCAGCAGCUUCUGUACAUUAAAUAAAAUACAAUAAAUAACCCUGAACAAAGUACAGAGCAAUAAAUCCCAAUGAGCUGUUAGCUGCUGUUAGCUGCUAGCUAACGGCAGUUAGCAGUUGUAAAAUUAAACAUAGCUAAUAAUGAAAACAGAUAAAUAUGAAUGUUAUUACAUUUGUCUAAACUAUGUUAAAAUGUAAUACUUGUAAAGAAAACACAGAGCUGGUCCCAGUACGUACCACAGUUACAGAACGGCGAACGGAAAAAAGGGGGCGGAGCCGUCGGUUACCGGUUGCUAUGGUAACCACCAAGAGCAGCGCGACCGAACCUUAAAAAAAUUAUUGAAUUGCUGAAUCUUUAUUUUCCCCUCUAAAUAUGUAACAUUUUCAGAUCUAAGGAUGUUUUAUUAGCAGGAUAAGAACAACAUGACUCUGAGUUGUAAAUAUUGCUUAAUUUAAACAACUGGUGGCAUAUUUUGCUCGUAAUCUGGGAAAAAAAAAUAAAUAAUUUUUUUAGUGUCCUAAAAUGAUAUAAAAUGAAUCUGGAUAUGAAGAGCUGAUGUGUGAGGAUGAGCAACAUCUACACAGUGGAGUUAUUUAUUUAUCUUUUAUUUUUUUCAAAGCUGGAGUAAAAGCUGGAGAUGGAGUAAUCGUGUACCUGCUGAGUCAGCACCAACCUGCCCAGAGCAGUUGGCGCCUCUGUUGUAGACCAAGGGUUUCACUCACAAAUUGGACUUACUAUGAAGAAUUUCCCCCAUAAUUCAAUCCAAAAUGGGAAAAAGAUACGUUUUGAAUUAAAAAAGUGAAAGAAUUCGCUGUAAUUUUCAGACAUAUGGAACUGGUCGUCCAUUUGAAACGUUUUCAGAGGUGGACAGAGAACUCAAAACCUGUACUCAGGAAAAAGUAGCACUAGUACAACUCGAUUUUUUUUUCAAAAUAUUUUUAUUGAAAUUUUGAAAAUACAAAUCAUGUAACUAUCUGAA